rnacentral:tRNA from 1 species
CCUGCACUUCGCGGAUACGCACGCGGGCGGCUUCCAACGCCGCCCGCUGUGCGCUGCGUUGCGGUUUGGUGACCGCCGUCCAGGCC